CUAAAACAACAUGGUUUCACCAUGUUGGCCAGGCUGGUCUUGAACUCCUGACCUCAGGUAAUCCCCCAACCUCGGCCUCCCAAAGUGCUGGGAUUACAGACGUGAGCCACCACGCCCAGCCUAGACCAUCUGGUUCUUGACACAGUAUAGAAGAGGAAACAGGCUCAGAGAAGCAGUCUGGUACAGUGGGAAGAACACAGUCCCGAAGCUCUCCAGAGAUUUGUGUACAUAGUGUUUGAGGGUUCUGGAAGAGGAGGCUGAGGACCUGAGCACACUCUAGAAGAGAGGUGACCUGUUAGUUCCUCCUUCAUGUAGUUUCAAACAAGUAUUCCUGGUCUGUGGUCAGCGCUCCUCAAAUGUUGGAUUUGAGGACCUGCGCUCUUCCCGAGUGAUUGUACUGUUUUCAACACCAGCUUCAAGCUGGCAGAAGGAAAAAGGGAGUGAAGACACACCCCUUCUUGAACCCCCCAACAGUCUAGAUCUCAGUGGAGGGCUGUACUAGGGCCAGCUAAGUUGCUUGCCUCCACCAUGUUCUCUCAGCUUUGAGGCAGAGAUGAUAGAUGUAGAGCAGUGCACUGUGGUGACCCUUGGCAUCCAGAUACAAGACAAGGACAUGGAGUGAUGACCACUGUUUGUAAGUGUUGGUGUCAUGGUGUCCCCCUCCAAAAAUGUUGAAGUCCUUCUAGUGCCUUAGAAUUUGACCUUAGGCUGGGUGCUAUGGUUCAUCCCUGUAAUCCCAGCACUUUGGGAGGCCAAAGUGGAUAAAUUGCUUGAGCCCAGGAGUUUGCCCAGCCUGGGUGACAUGGCAAAGCCCCGUCUCUACUAAAAAUACAAAGAUUAGCCAAAUGUGGUGGCACGUGCCUGUAGUCCCAGCUACCUGAGAGGCUGAGGUGGAAGGAUUGCCUGACCCAAGGAAGUUGAGGCUGCAGUGAGCUGAGAUUGCACCACUGCACUCCAGCCUCAGUGAUAAAGCGAGACCCUGUUUGAGAAAAAAAACAGAAAACGAAGAUUUGGCCACAAAGACAGACAUACCUAGAAGGCAAUGUGCAAACAGCCACCUGAUGGGGGCAGGAUUGGGGUGAUGCGUCUGCCAGCUAAGGGAUGCCUGAGGCUACCAGAAGCCAGAAGCAGGUGGAACAGACCCUUCCCCAGCUCCUUCAGAGGGAGCAUGGCUCUGCCACAGCUUGAUUUCAGAUUUCUGGCCUCAAGAACUAUGAGACAAUAAAUUUCUGUUCUAAGCCAGCUAGUUCAUGUACCUUCUUACAGAAGCCCUAGGAAGCUAAUAUUUACUGGCAAUUACUCAAAUCUUUUUAAACAUCAUGCAGGUCAUGAACGUCCUGUUUGCAAACUCUGCUGAAGGGGAAGAAGGUGUGAUCACUGGUUGUUUAUCCAAAAUCCAAGAUGAGCCCAGUUGAAGGAGGAAGCGAAAUACACAGGGCAGUGGACCCUCCACAUCCAGAAGGUCCCAGCCAACCCUAAGGAGGGGAGUCUCAUGGGUCUUCAGGGCUCUUACCCAGGCUUAGGAGGAAGCUACCACCAGGAACCUCUGGUCUCGCUUUUCCCUCCCACUACAAGCCACUUCCCCUCUGGGAACCUUGGUGUCCUUGGUUAUAUGGUGAGAAUAACAGAAUUUACCUCACAGACUUGUUAAAGGAUCGAGGUUACAAAAGCAUUCUGCGAGAGGCUGUCUUUCCUCCUGGAGGUGGAGGCAACAGACAUGGAGAGCUUGGGGCUCCCACUUGGCUGGGAAAUGGGGGAACAUUCUCCCUUCUCUCAAGGUCAUGAAGCUGGGAAAGUUCUAAGCACAAACCGAGCCCUGACACCAGUUGUGGCUUCCAGAGAAGUGAGAAUGAUAAUAAAUAAGUGUAAAAAGAGUCAACAACACACCCUUUAAGCCAAG
rnacentral:lncRNA from 10 species